rnacentral:lncRNA from 10 species
CCGCCAGCCUUGACCUCCCAAAGUACUGGGAUUACAGGCGUGAGCCACCGCGCCCUGCCUAUAUUUUUAUAUUUACUUUUUUUUUUACUUUUAGGUUUGGUGGUCCAUAUGAAGGUUUGUUACAUAGGUAAACACAUGUCACGGGGGUUUGUUGUACAGAUUAUUUCAUCACCCAGGUAUUAGGCCCAGUACCCAAUAGUUAUCUUUUCUGUUCCUCUCCCUCCUCCCACCCUCCACCCUCAAGUAGACUCCAGUGUCUGUUGUUUCCUUCUUACACAAAUAUCUUUGAAAAUGUAGUAGAGAAUGGAAGUUGUCACAGGAUGGUCAAAAACAUGAGACCCCUGGAGAAUUGUCUCCCAACAAAGUAAGAGUGUGGGUUAAGAUGAGUAAAGGAAUACUGACAGAUGAAUGUCUGAUUUAAGUCAAAAGUAGAAGAGAAAGCCAAUGUCCAAAACAUUAGAACUAAAGGUCAAAAGAACUAGAGGAUAAAGAUAAUAUUAGGGUCACAGAGCUAAGAAAUUUGGCUUUUGCAGACUCAGAGAAAGCCAGGUGCAGCAAUGGAGUUAUCCUAAAACCCUGAUUGUUAUUUGUUGCUGGUGUGGGUCAGGCUGGCUUAUAACAUCAAGAACAGCAUGUACAUUUUUUGCCUCCAUCUGUGUGGUGGAACUUGAAAAAUUACAUACAUUUAUUUGUGAAGAAGGUGUGGGAGCAUGUAGAGAUCAGGCAGAGCUCAGUUUAGGAUUCAACCAAGAGUUCAACUUUACUCCAUUGCCUCGUUAUUAAGGACUUAACCUCUGACAUUGCCUUAGUGAGAGAGCAUUUAUCUAUGAUGCUGCCUUCAAGGAGCGAGCUCUUCUUUGGUGUUAAUUACUAGCAUAGCAGCAGGGCCUUUCAUAGACUUCUAAGAGGGACGAACACUGUGGUCAUCAGGCUUUAAAAUAUUUUCCCCAUCAAGACUUACUAUGUAUGAUAUAGAUAACUUCUCUGCCUAUGCUCACAGGUACUUCCUUGGAGAACAGAAGCCAAAUUCUGUCAUUGUUUGUCUCAGCCCUCCCCACAGGGCAGUGAUGAGAGUACAAAUGUGGGACCUGACCCAAGAGUGACACCCUAGAACCUUAAUGAGAGAAGAUAGGGAAUCCACAGUGAAGAUGCAUUAUUUCAGAGGAGACUGGAUCAAUAUUCCUUCUUCAACCUGUCACACAGAGAAGAGAGGCGCCUCUGUUUUCCCAUCAGGGAUGAGUACAGGAAACGGCAGCAUAUUUUCCACUUGUGAAUCUUGGUUUCCCUGUGGGCAAUGAUGUAUGGAACUUACGAACAAUAUGGGCAGAUCAACAAACAGCACAUAAAGGGGACGAGACACACACACACAGAGACAGAGAGAGAGAGAGAGUGCAAAGCAAGGCAAGGCAAGAGGAGUAAGAAGGUCAUUAUGCAAUCUUUCUCGGACUCAGCUCUCUAAUUCUUAAGCCACAGCAAAAGAGAUGAAAUUCUGCCUGAACUAUUAUCCUCCAUUUACAGUUAAGUAAACUGAGGCCCUGGAAAAUGAGGCACUUUAGUUUUAAAAGCUGCUAAAGUCUAUUGCUACAUCAUGCAGACAAUGAACAAUGAGUGUUGGAGAAUGUCCUUUCCUGCCUCUUAAUCAUUCUGAAUCGAAACUAAUGAUAAACUUCAAUCAAUGACAUUGAGGGGAUGGGUAAGGGAUAAUAUAAAGAGUCCUCUAUGCAUGCUAAUUUGUUGUUACAUGUGACCUAAGAUGGUGGUUUCUUGCUUUAAAGACCUUACUAAUCAUUACAGAGUAUUCUUAUUCUCUGCUCAAUAAUUUGGAAAUGACUUAGGUCCUGUAACUCUCUGUGUCUCUAAUUUCUGAUCUCUGUAUUCAUCCAUGCUGUCUUUAGUACAAGUAUUUAUUUAUGUAGACUUCCCUUGUUCUGUUCUUUAUGUUACAUGGAGGAAAUUCUGAGAAACUUCAUCAGUAGCACUAUGAAACUCCUUCCAUACAGAACAGUCUAGAACAGGCAUUGUCAAACUGGGCUAAAUCUGUUCUGCCAUCUGCUUUUCUAAAGAAAAUGUUGUUGGAACACAACCACGUUCAUUCAUUUCUGUAUUGUCUGUGGCAGAGAUUGACCAUCACGAUAGAGACCAUAUGAGUUGAAAAGCCUAAAACAUUUAUUACCUGGCUCUGAACAGAAAAUACUUGCUGACUUCUGGUCUGGAACAGCACUGUGUAUAUACCUCAGGUUUAAUACUGGAAGUCUCCAUUAGUCCUUCUUCAGAGGUGACUAGAGUGCACAGUCAUAAUGACAGGGCCCCAAGGACUUCUCUAACUCACACUCCCUGUCCAGUCACCUUCACUGCAACAACCAUCUUACCAAGGGGUGCUGUCACUGCUCCUGUCCACUUUCUGGCCGUCAGAUGCCUCGAGAGUUCUUCUUGCCCUUGAUAAGGAAUAAACUUGUCAGUUGCAUGUGGCAGUUUUUCAACUGAUUUGGGAGAUGAUGCAGAUUUUGCUAUUUCUUAACUUUCAAUUGUUGUGUUUUCUGGUUCUCAGUAGGGAGACAUGAAGAAAAUUGCUGAUUCCCUUCAGUUAAAUAACAGUUUAGAUUAAACCAGCAAGAACUUUUGCUCUUUAAUAAAAUGCAAAGUUACCAUGCCUUUCUCCGGCUCGAUCAUUCAUGCAUCAUAAUGUGAAUGGAGUUGUAGGAGUAUGAUGUUUAUUCUCACAAUAGGUUUAAUUCUGAGUAAAAGCACUAAUUGAAAAAUCAGAAGAAUUUUGUCUUUAAGAGCUCAUGUUAAUGCAUGCAUUCAUCCAUCUGAAUUUUGAUGAUCUCGGUUUUUUUCUGUGUAAAUUCUUAUCAGAAUGGAGUGACUCUAAAUUGCGCCCUGCUUGUAACUUUCAUGUAUGAUUUGCUCCCUUGUUGUUUACCAGCCCUUUUAAAACUACAUAGUAGAAAGAAAAUAUUUUAAACAAUGUCACAUCCAGACGGUGAUUUCUCAAAGCUUCAAAUGCAGGCUUUAAUCCUUCUCCCAGGUUAGCCAGACUCAGGCUGCUGCACAGCACUGGGGCUUUUCAGACACAUUAAGGAUUCUGGACAGGCUUCACCCCAGACACCCUUGUGCUC